UGCUCUCUUGGUGGUCACCUUCACGCGGUGAGAGCGUUAAGUAACUUGGAGGUCCCGGGUUCGAUUCCCGCACAAGGGACUUUCAGGUGAAAACUAAGAACCAC
rnacentral:ribozyme from 1 species